rnacentral:rRNA from 1 species
GGUGAAGCCUGCCCGGUGAGUAUUUUAACGGCCGCAGUACUUUGACUGUGCUAAGGUAGCAAAAUAAAUAGGCUUAUAAUUAAGGUCGAGUAUGAAUGGCACUAUGGGUGAUAACUGUCUCAUAAUAUAUAAAUUAAUUUAAUUAGUAGGUGAAAAUUCCUACAAAAAAAAAUUAGACGAGAAGACCCUUAGAGUUUUUAAUAUACUUAUUAUUUUAAGAUCUUUUUUGUUGGGGCGACACAGUAUCAUAAAACAUACUUAAUCUUUUUUUACCAAUCUAAUUUUAUAGGUGUAUAUAACUACCUAAGGGAUAACAGCAUAAUUUUUUACUAAGAUUGUGACCUCGAUGUUGGACUAGGGACUAAGUAUAUUAGUCAUACA